CAGUAGCCGCGGUAAUACGGAGGGAGCUAGCGUUGUUCGGAAUUACUGGGCGUAAAGCGCGCGUAGGCGGUUACUCAAGUCAGAGGUGAAAGCCCGGGGCUCAACCCCGGAACUGCCUUUGAAACUAGGUGACUAGAAUCUUGGAGAGGUCAGUGGAAUUCCGAGUGUAGAGGUGAAAUUCGUAGAUAUUCGGAAGAACACCAGUGGCGAAGGCGACUGACUGGACAAGUAUUGACGCUGAGGUGCGAAAGCGUGGGGAGCAAACAGGAUUAGAUACCCCCGUAGUCCCUGUCUCUUAUAC
rnacentral:rRNA from 1 species